rnacentral:lncRNA from 1 species
UUCCCACCUCCACACCCACAGUGGAUCAGGACCCCACAGGUAAGAAUGCAGUGUCCAGAUGGACUGAUGGAUGGCUUCUCUCGCUGGCUCCUGUGAAGCUAUUGCGUUCUUUGCUGAAUGUCAUGAGAAGGACUUGGUUCAUCUUGGCUGACCACUUGCUAUGGCUCGACCAAACUGAGGAAACGUGGCAAGGCCCCACGGAUGUCGCCAAACCCACAGGCUGUCCCUGCCAGGGAGCAGCGCCUGUCUUUGCAGAGAGCUGCUUGCAGCAUAUGCUUCCUUCUGCCUGAGCUCACACAGAAGCAGAUUGCGCCAGAUCCCUGCUGGCUCUUCUCCCCGCAGCCUGGAUUUACAAGAUGGUGCAUUAAUAGGCCCCGUGUUUGUCCCAGGCAAGGAGUUCUGUGGUGUCCAUAGGAGCUUUGAAUUAAGGACUCCGGGGUUUUCAGGGAAUGGAUCAGAGGGAUGAAAACAUGGGCAGAUAAAGCCAGAACUUGACCCAGAAGAGUGUCAGAAGAGGCUGGCAGGAAAGAAGAGACCUUCAGGAGCUCUCUUAAGUAGUCUCUCAGAAAACUAGAAAAUCAAAAUUAAGAAAGGAUGAGAUUGGAGCACUUGUCUCAACACAAUCUCUGCCAUCUUAAAAAAAAAAAAAAAAGACCCAUUUCUUUAAAAUUACAACCCCACAAGAGCCUAUGAAGAUUUAAACUUGUUUUACUGAACCCAGAGAAGCUGCCUCUCUGUCCUCUGUUAGGAGACUGCAUCCAGAGCUUCACCCUGCCUGCUGACCACACCAGAUUUAACAAGGUUCGCAAAUGAACUAGAGUAAGUUUCCCACAGUGACACAUUAAUAAUAAGUUCCUUAUCCCAUCUAUCCCAAGCCAUGAAUAUGUAAUGUUAGAAAAUGAGUCCUUUUUCACACACAACAGAACCUCAGACGUGAAUAAAUAAAAACUAUCCAUCACGAGUCUGUGAAAAAUUAAUGAGCGUUCAGAGACGCGAGGAAAAAUGGGGACUGAGGAGAGAUGGCCCAAUUCGUAAAAGCAUCGCUUAACUUUCAGAUGGUAAAUAUCCUCGCCCCCGCCCCUUGCCCGGCUGCCAGGUGGGGGUG